UGAGUGGCGGACGGGUGAGUAACGCGUGGGCAACCUGGCCUGUACAGGGGAUAACACUUAGAAAUAGGUGCUAAUACCGCAUAACGGGGGAAGCCGCAUGGCUUUCCCUGAAAACUCCGGUGGUACAGGAUGGGCCCGCGUCUGAUUAGCCAGUUGGCAGGGUAACGGCCUACCAAAGCGACGAUCAGUAGCCGGCCUGAGAGGGCGGACGGCCACACUGGGACUGAGACACGGCCCAGACUCCUACGGAAGGCAGCAG
rnacentral:rRNA from 1 species